rnacentral:lncRNA from 1 species
GCUGCAUUUGUUUGCACGUGGAUAUUUUUUGCAUAAGUACAAAGUAUUGAACAAACCAAAGCACUUUAUCAUACCUAUGCUGUGCAAGUUUGAUCACUGCUGCCAUAGAUGACAAACCUCUACCGGAUAAAGGACAAGAAAUGACAUAACUUGCACAGUACCACAUAGCAUAGGCCAUGGUUUUUGCUGGACCAAAGAAAAACAAAUCCAACCCAGGAACUGCUUAGCCAGUCACUUGUAUAGUAGCGACAAAGAACUGAUUUGAGACCAGGAAUCAGCUUGAAUCUAGG